GACGAACGCUGGCGGCGUGCUUAACACAUGCAAGUCGAACGGAAAGGCCCUGCUUUUGUGGGGUGCUCGAGUGGCGAACGGGUGAGUAACACGUGAGUAACCUGCCCUUGACUUUGGGAUAACUUCAGGAAACUGGGGCUAAUACCGGAUAGGAGCUCCUGCUGCAGGGUGGGGGUUGGACAGUUUCGGCGGUUGGGGAUGGACUCGCGGCUUAUCAGCUUGUUGGUGGGGUAGUGGCUUACCAAGGCUUUGACUGGUAGCCGGCCUGAGGGGGUGACCGGCCACAUUGGGACUGCGGUACGGCCCAGACUCCUACGGGAGGCAGCAGUGGGGAAUAUUGCACAACGGGGGGAAGCCUGAUGCAGCAACGCCGCGUGCGGGAUGACGGCCUUCGGGUUGUAAACCGCUUUCGCCUGUGACGAAGCGUGAGUGACGGUAAUGGGUAAAGAAGCACCGGCUAACUACGUG
rnacentral:rRNA from 1 species